AGUGAACGCUGGCGGUAGGCCUAACACAUGCAAGUCGAACGGCAGCACAGAGGAGCUUGCUCCUUGGGUGGCGAGUGGCGGACGGGUGAGGAAUACAUCGGAAUCUACUCUGUCGUGGGGGAUAACGUAGGGAAACUUACGCUAAUACCGCAGACGACCUACGGGUGAAAGCAGGGGGUCUUCGGACCUUGCACGAUUGAAUGAGCCGAUGUCGGAUUAGCUAGUUGGCGGGGUAAAGGCCCACCAAGGCGACGAUCCGUAGCUGGUCUGAGAGGAUGAUCAGCCACACUGGAACUGAGACACGGUCCAGACUCCUACGGGAGGCAGCAGUGGGGAAUAUUGGACAAUGGGCGCAAGCCUGAUCCAGCCAUACCGCGUGGGUGAAGAAGGCCUUCGGGUUGUAAAGCCCUUUUGUUGGGAAAGAAAUCCAUCUGGUUAAUACCCGGGUGGGAUGACGGUACCCAAAGAAUAAGCACCGGCUAACUUCGUGCCAGCCGCCGCGGUAA
rnacentral:rRNA from 1 species